UACGGGGGGGGCAAGCGUUGUUCGGAAUUACUGGGCGUAAAGGGCUCGUAGGCGGCCAACUAAGUCAGACGUGAAAUCCCUCGGCUUAACCGGGGAACUGCGUCUGAUACUGGAUGGCUUGAGUUCGGGAGAGGGAUGCGGAAUUCCAGGUGUAGCGGUGAAAUGCGUAGAUAUCUGCAGGAACACCCGUGGCGAAAGCGGCGCGCUGGACCGCUACUGACGCUGAGGAACGAAAGCUAGGGGAGCAAACAGG
rnacentral:rRNA from 1 species